AUUUAAGCUUUUCUUUUGUAGGCAGAUUCAACUGAUCACAACAACUCUGGAUUCACGGUUUCUGUGGACAUUGAUUUAUUUCAUCACUUUGAAUCUUAAAGGGAAUAAUAAGAAACGAAGAAGAGGAGAGAGAUGAAGAGGAAGAGGGAGGAAGAUUCACAAGCCAGUGGAUCAAAACCAGCAAAUGAGGAGAAACUGGUUAAAUCGAGCAGUAUGGGUCAUCUGAGACCAGACUUCUCUCAUGAUGCAGAAAAGCCUGAGAGUCAUUCGGAUGUGUCUCAAUCAAAGCCGAGGGUCCUGAACAAUCUCCAGCAGAUCAUCUGAACGCCAACAAGACAAACCUCUACGAAUCUCUCACGUUUCUUCAAAUGGAGCUGCAAGAGUUAAUUGUUUACAGGCCCGGCUCCAUCCAAUCAGGAGCUUGGUUCACACCCCUGUCUCACUCCAAAUAACAUCCAGCUGUUGUUCAAUGUUCAGUUCAGCUCCAGGUUUUGAGGGAGAUUUAUCUCUUUGGCAGCUUGGUGUGAAAAUCCCACGUGUUCUUCAGAAAGUAGAGAGAAUUUUUUUACAGAUGUAUUUUAAUUUUUGCACUUCAUUGCAUUGUGUUUUAGGAUUGUCUUUAGAUUUUAUGAAUAAUGUCCUGGCAUUUUUACAGUAUUGCUGUUUUCUGUUUGCACACAGAGCCCAUUUCAGACAUCACUGACCUGAAUUCACUUUUGGGUUUUAUCAUGAGAGAAAAAAACUGCUUUAUAAACCUGCAUUUAAUUAAAAACUAAAGAAAAUGAAAUCGCUUUGCUUAAAUAUGCUCUUGACUUCACUUCUUUAACUUUAAUAAGA